rnacentral:rRNA from 1 species
GGCGGUCUGUCAAGUCGGAUGUGAAAUCCCCGGGCUCAACCUGGGAACUGCAUUCGAAACUGGCAGGCUAGAGUCUUGUAGAGGGGGGUAGAAUUCCAGGUGUAGCGGUGAAAUGCGUAGAGAUCUGGAGGAAUACCGGUGGCGAAGGCGGCCCCCUGGACAAAGACUGACGCUCAGGUGCGAAAGCGUGGGGAGCAAACAGGAUUAGAUACCCUGGUAGUCCACGCCGUAAACGAUGUCGACUUGGA